GUAGGGAAUCUUCCACAAUGGGCGAAAGCCUGAUGGAGCAACGCCGCGUGAGUGAAGAAGGAUUUCGGUUCGUAAAACUCUGUUGUAAGGGAAGAACAAGUACAGUAGUAACUGGCUGUACCUUGACGGUACCUUAUUAGAAAGCCACGGCUAACUACGUGCCAGCAGCCGCGGUAAUACGUAGGUGGCAAGCGUUGUCCGGAAUUAUUGGGCGUAAAGCGCGCGCAGGUGGUUUCUUAAGUCUGAUGUGAAAGCCCACGGCUCAACCGUGGAGGGUCAUUGGAAACUGGGAGACUUGAGUGCAGAAGAGGAUAGUGGAAUUCCAAGUGA
rnacentral:rRNA from 1 species